GUUGUAUGGUUAAGUGACUAAGCGUACACGGUGGAUGCCUUGGCAGUCAGAGGCGAUGAAAGACGUAGUAACUUGCGAUAAGCCCAGAUUAGGUAGUAACAACCAUUUGAGUCUGGGAUUUCUGAAUGGGGAAACCCACUUACAUAAGUAAGUAUCAUUAACUGAAUACAUAGGUUAAUGAGGCGAACCGGGGGAACUGAAACAUCUAAGUACCCCGAGGAAAAGAAAUCAACCGAGAUUCCGAAAGUAGCGGCGAGCGAAAUUGGACUAGCCCUUAAGCUUUACACGCGUUAGACGAACGGUCUGGAAAGUCCGACGAUACAGGGUGAUAGUCCCGUAGUUGACGACGUGUGUUCAGUGAAAUCGAGUAGGGCGGGACACGUGAUAUCCUGUCUGAAUAUGGGGGGACCAUCCUCCAAGGCUAAAUACUACUGACUGACCGAUAGUGAACCAGUACCGUGAGGGAAAGGCGAAAAGAACCCCUGUGAGGGGAGUGAAAUAGAACCUGAAACCGUGUACGUACAAGCAGUAGGAGCAGGCUUUGUCCUGUGACUGCGUACCUUUUGUAUAAUGGGUCAGCGACUUAUAUUCAGUGGCAAGGUUAACCAUCUAGGGGAGCCGUAGGGAAACCGAGUCUUAACUGGGCGUUCAGUCUCUGGAUAUAGACCCGAAACCAGGUGAUCUAGCCAUGGGCAGGUUGAAGGUUGAGUAACAUCAACUGGAGGACCGAACCGACUAAUGUUGAAAAAUUAGCGGAUGACUUGUGGCUAGGGGUGAAAGGCCAAUCAAACCUGGAGAUAGCUGGUUCUCCCCGAAAGCUAUUUAGGUAGCGCCUCGGACGAAUACUACUGGGGGUAGAGCACUGUUAAGGCUAGGGGGUCAUCCCGACUUACCAACCCUUUGCAAACUCCGAAUACCAGUAAGUACUAUCCGGGAGACACACGGCGGGUGCUAACGUCCGUCGUGGAGAGGGAAACAACCCAGACCGCCAGCUAAGGUCCCAAAUUACUACUAAGUGGGAAACGAUGUGGGAAGGCUCAGACAGCCAGGAUGUUGGCUUAGAAGCAGCCAUCAUUUAAAGAAAGCGUAAUAGCUCACUGGUCGAGUCGGCCUGCGCGGAAGAUGUAACGGGGCUAAGUAGUAAACCGAAGCUGCGGCAAUAUACUUUUGUAUAUUGGGUAGGGGAGCGUUCUGUAAGCGGUUGAAGGUGUGUGGUAACGCAUGCUGGACGUAUCAGAAGUGCGAAUGCUGACAUGAGUAACGAUAAAGGGGGUGAAAAACCUCCUCGCCGGAAGACCAAGGGUUCCUGUCCAACGUUAAUCGGGGCAGGGUAAGUCGACCCCUAAGGCGAGGCCGAAAGGCGUAGUCGAUGGGAAACGGGUUAAUAUUCCCGUACUUCUUACAAUUGCGAUGGGGGGACGGAGAAGGCUAGGUGGGCCUGGCGACGGUUGUCCAGGUUCAAGUGCGUAGGCUUAAGAGUUAGGUAAAUCCGGCUCUUUCUAAGGCUGAGACACGACGUCGAGCACCUACGGGUGUGAAGUCAUUGAUGCCAUGCUUCCAGGAAAAGCCUCUAAGCUUCAGAUUGUAAGGAAUCGUACCCCAAACCGACACAGGUGGUCGGGUAGAGAAUACCAAGGCGCUUGAGAGAACUCGGGUGAAGGAACUAGGCAAAAUGGUACCGUAACUUCGGGAGAAGGUACGCUCUUGAUGGUGAAGUCCCUUGCGGAUGGAGCUGACGAGAGUCGCAGAUACCAGGUGGCUGCAACUGUUUAUUAAAAACACAGCACUGUGCAAAAUCGUAAGAUGACGUAUACGGUGUGACGCCUGCCCGGUGCCGGAAGGUUAAUUGAUGGGGUUAGACUUCGGUCGAAGCUCUUGAUCGAAGCCCCGGUAAACGGCGGCCGUAACUAUAACGGUCCUAAGGUAGCGAAAUUCCUUGUCGGGUAAGUUCCGACCUGCACGAAUGGCGUAAUGAUGGCCACGCUGUCUCCACCCGAGACUCAGUGAAAUUGAAAUCGCUGUGAAGAUGCAGUGUACCCGCGGCUAGACGGAAAGACCCCGUGAACCUUUACUACAGCUUGGCACUGAACAUUGACCCUACAUGUGUAGGAUAGGUGGGAGGCUUUGAAGCACGUACGCCAGUAUGUGUGGAGCCGUCCUUGAAAUACCACCCUUGUAGUGUUGAUGUUCUAACGUCGACCCCUUAUCGGGGUUGCGGACAGUGCCUGGUGGGUAGUUUGACUGGGGCGGUCUCCUCCCAAAGAGUAACGGAGGAGCACGAAGGUGGGCUAAUCACGGUUGGACAUCGUGAGGUUAGUGCAAUGGCAUAAGCCCGCUUGACUGCGAGAAUGACAAUUCGAGCAGGUGCGAAAGCAGGUCAUAGUGAUCCGGUGGUUCUGAAUGGAAGGGCCAUCGCUCAACGGAUAAAAGGUACUCCGGGGAUAACAGGCUGAUACCGCCCAAGAGUUCAUAUCGACGGCGGUGUUUGGCACCUCGAUGUCGGCUCAUCACAUCCUGGGGCUGAAGUCGGUCCCAAGGGUAUGGCUGUUCGCCAUUUAAAGUGGUACGCGAGCUGGGUUUAGAACGUCGUGAGACAGUUCGGUCCCUAUCUGCCGUGGGCGUUGGAAGAUUGAAGGGGGCUGCUCCUAGUACGAGAGGACCGGAGUGGACGAACCUCUGGUGUUCGGGUUGUGUCGCCAGACGCAUUGCCCGGUAGCUAAGUUCGGAAUCGAUAACCGCUGAAAGCAUCUAAGCGGGAAGCGAGCCCUGAGAUGAGUCUUCCCUGAUACUUUAAGUAUCCUAAAGGGUUGUCGGAGACUACGACGUUGAUAGGUCAGGUGUGUAAGUGCUGUGAGGCAUUGAGCUAACUGAUACUAAUUGCCCGUGAGGCUUAACCAUACAACACCCAAGGGGUUU
rnacentral:rRNA from 1 species